GGAUUCCCUUAGUAACUGCGAGUGAAGUGGGAAAAGCUCAAAUUUAAAAUCUGACAGUCUUUGACUUGUCCGACUUGUAAACUAGAGAAGUGCUAUCCGCGCUGGACCAUGUACAAGUCUCCUGGAAUGGAGCGUCAUGGAGGGUGAGAAUCCCGUUUCUGACAUGGAUUACCAGGGCUUUUGUGAUGUGCUCUCAAAGAGUCGAGUUGUUUGGGAAUGCAGCUCUAAAUGGGUGGUAAAUUCCAUCUAAAGCUAAAUAUUGGCGAGAGACCGAUAGUGAACAAGUACCGUGAGGGAAAGAUGAAAAGAACUUUGGAAAGAGAGUUAAAUAGUACGUGAAAUUGUUGAAAGGGAAACGCUUGAAGUCAGUCACAUCAGUUAGGAGUCAACCUUGCUCACUUGCUUGGUGCUUUUUCUAGUCUGAUGGGUCAGCAUCAAUUUUGGCUGGUGGAGAAAGGCUAGGGAAAUGUGGCAUCUUUUAUAGAUGUGUUAUAGUCCUUUGUCACAUGCAUCAGUUGGGAUUGAGGAAUUCAGCACACUACAAGGUUUUUGUGCUUAGGAUGCUGGCAUAAUGGCUUUAAUCGACCCGUCUUGAAACACGGACCAAGGAGUCCACCAUGCAUGCGAGUAUUUGAGUGUGAAACCUCAUAUGCGCAAUGAAAGUGAAGAUCAGGAUCCCUGCUAGUUGGGGUGCACUGAUGCCUGGGCCAGAGCUUUUGCAAUGGACCUGCGGUUGAGCAUGUAUGUUGGGACCCGAAAGAUGGUGAACUAUGCCUGAAUAGGGUGAAGCCAGAGGAAACUCUGGUGGAAGCUCGUAGCGAUUCUGACGUGCAAAUCGAUCGUCGAAUUUGGGUAUAGGGGCGAAAGAC
rnacentral:rRNA from 1 species